UUGCAGUAGCAGGUGGCUGAAACUCACUUGGCCGCUGUGUUUGACGGUCUCUGUGGGAAAUUGCUUAAUUAAUGCGUUUGAAACGGGUCUCUGGGGUCAUAUCGGAGAAAUGAGGCUGGAUAUCAUAGAAUACUGCAAUUUGUGGAUCAUCUUGUAUUGUGGCCUAGCGUCUUUGCAAGGCGUGAGGAACAAGACCCACCAUGCUCGGCUUGACACUGCAGUGCUUCUGUCGUGCGUCUUCCCCAAAAGCGAUUUCGCACAUGGCGAUCAGGCGAAAGUGCAGUGGACUCAGUCGUCAAGAGGCACUCUCGUGGAGAUCACACGGACGGGCCUCAUCAAUUUCAGUGAUCCCAUGGACGGCCGGGUGAUUGUGUUUCCCAAUUUGUGCCGCACCGGCAACUGUUCCAUCCGCAUCCAACAUCUCCAACCGUCCGACCUGGGCGAGUACUGCUGUGUGCUACACAAUAGAUCGAUCUGCAGUGUGGUGGAGUCUAGCGAUGAUAAUGCAGGGGAGCCGAACGUGGUGGAGGAUUCUAAGCUGGACAAAUGGUUUUUCAUUGGUGGAGCAGCAGGAGGAGGAGGAGCAUUCUGUCUUCUUCUCAUCAUCUGCUUCUGCCUGAAGUUUCGAGCUCGAGAUGAAUGCACCCCUGAUCAAACCAACACCAGCACUAGCGUCCAUCACGGUGAAGUCUUGCACAUUACAAAAACAGAAAAAUAAAUGAUCUAUUUUAAGAUGUCAAUAACUUAAUAUGUAACUACUAAGAAAUUAACCAUUCUCUCGAAAUAUUGAUCAUAUCCACAUUACUAUCAAUUUGUAAUACCGUUAAUGUUUUGAGUGAGUGGGGGCGGGGGAGGGGGUUGUUUUUUUACUAAAUGCUAUUCUGUGCAUUAUUAAUUUUGUCUGUAGCAAUUGAGCCUGCCUUGAGGGACCAGAAAGCGGGAUUUGAGAUUUAAUGAAAUUUUAGAAGAGCAUUUCAUAGGUUCCAAUACAACAGACAAACACAGUAAAGCUUAGAUAAGUAUUUGAAUCCAAAACAGAUAUGUAUUUGACCUUGAUAUUGAGUGAAACACUGCAUUAUGACUAUAUACAGAAGGUCUUGCUCUAUGUAUGCCUUUGCAGCAUUGAAUUCGAAUCUGAAGUCUGUGUGUUUUGUUGCUUGUUUCUAACACCCUGGUCAAACUGAUGUGUCUCUAUCUAGAUGCUGCAAGUGAUUCUGGUCAUUCUGAGGAGAUUGUUUAUGGUAUGAUCAGAAGGCUCGUUACACAAAGGGCUUUGCUGUGCCUUGCAUGCUUGAUGUGUUGUUUCAAUGUAACAGUCGCCUUCUAGGCUAAAGCAGUGAAAUCUCACAUGAAAUCCUUCUGCUUUCGCCUUUAUUCUCACAAUUAAUCCCGUGUUUGUUCUUCGCUCUCUGUCGAAUUCUUCAGAAAAUGACGACCAUGAUCCAAAUGCUAUAGCGUGUGUGGAAAUUAAACCGCAGCAAGAACGCACCAGCAUCAGUGCCGGCCUGCAGCUACCAGCUGUGAAGCCUUUUUACGCCAAUCAGAAAGAGAUCGACAAACAGUUGGCAAAAAGGAAGAGGCUUAAGACGAAAAGCUUGCAGUAUGAAAACCCGAUCUAUGCUAACAGCCAGGAACAGCUGGAUCAGUGCUAGAAGAUAUUUGGGAAUUGUAUUAUUGAAGAAUUCUAAGUUUCUUUUUGUUAAAAAUAAAUAUUUGCCUUCUAGUUUGUAAUUUAUGUAUGUACUGUAUAUUCCCAGUUUAAUGUUUUGCCUUCAUUAGUAAGUAUGCUCAAAUUCCAUUGUAGAGUAAAACUUACGUAUUCAUCAUGAAGCAAAACAGCUGAGAUGAAACUAUACAUAUGGAUGUUUGUGAAAUUAUAUUGAUGACGCCAUUACGAUUUA